GAUGAACGCUGGCGGCGUGCUUAACACAUGCAAGUCGAACGGUGAAGGCGGAGCUUGCUCUGCUGGAUCAGUGGCGAACGGGUGAGUAACACGUGAGCAAUCUGCCCCUGACUCUGGGAUAAGCGCUGGAAACGGCGUCUAAUACUGGAUACGAGCUGCGAAGGCAUCUUCAGCAGCUGGAAAGAAUUUCGGUCAGGGAUGAGCUCGCGGCCUAUCAGCUUGUUGGUGAGGUAAUGGCUCACCAAGGCGUCGACGGGUAGCCGGCCUGAGAGGGUGACCGGCCACACUGGGACUGAGAGACGGCCCAGACUCCUACGGGAGGCAGCAGUGGGGAAUAUUGCACAAUGGGCGAAAGCCUGAUGCAGCAACGCCGCGUGAGGGACGACGGCCUUCGGGUUGUAAACCUCUUUUAGCAGGGAAGAAGCGAAAGUGACGGUACCUGCAGAAAAAGCGACGGCUAACUACGUG
rnacentral:rRNA from 1 species